rnacentral:rRNA from 1 species
AUGAACGCUAGCUACAGGCUUAACACAUGCAAGUCGAGGGGCAGCAUGGUCUUAGCUUGCUAAGACUGAUGGCGACCGGCGCACGGGUGAGUAACACGUAUCCAACCUGCCGUCUACUCUUGGACAGCCUUCUGAAAGGAAGAUUAAUACAAGAUGGCAUCAUGAGUCCGCAUGUUCACAUGAUUAAAGGUAUUCCGGUAGACGAUGGGGAUGCGUUCCAUUAGAUAGUAGGCGGGGUAACGGCCCACCUAGUCUUCGAUGGAUAGGGGUUCUGAGAGGAAGGUCCCCCACAUUGGAACUGAGACACGGUCCAAACUCCUACGGGAGGCAGCAGUGAGGAAUAUUGGUCAAUGGGCGAGAGCCUGAACCAGCCAAGUAGCGUGAAGGAUGACUGCCCUAUGGGUUGUAAACUUCUUUUAUAAAGGAAUAAAGUCGGGUAUGCAUACCCGUUUGCAUGUACUUUAUGAAUAAGGAUCGGCUAACUCCGUGCCAGCAGCCGCGGUAAUACGGAGGAUCCGAGCGUUAUCCGGAUUUAUUGGGUUUAAAGGGAGCGUAGAUGGAUGUUUAAGUCAGUUGUGAAAGUUUGCGGCUCAACCGUAAAAUUGCAGUUGAUACUGGAUAUCUUGAGUGCAGUUGAGGCAGGCGGAAUUCGUGGUGUAGCGGUGAAAUGCUUAGAUAUCACGAAGAACUCCGAUUGCGAAGGCAGCCUGCUAAGCUGCAACUGACAUUGAGGCUCGAAAGUGUGGGUAUCAAACAGGAUUAGAUACCCUGGUAGUCCACACGGUAAACGAUGAAUACUCGCUGUUUGCGAUAUACUGCAAGCGGCCAAGCGAAAGCGUUAAGUAUUCCACCUGGGGAGUACGCCGGCAACGGUGAAACUCAAAGGAAUUGACGGGGGCCCGCACAAGCGGAGGAACAUGUGGUUUAAUUCGAUGAUACGCGAGGAACCUUACCCGGGCUUAAAUUGCAGAUGAAUUACGGUGAAAGCCGUAAGCCGCAAGGCAUCUGUGAAGGUGCUGCAUGGUUGUCGUCAGCUCGUGCCGUGAGGUGUCGGCUUAAGUGCCAUAACGAGCGCAACCCUUGUUGUCAGUUACUAACAGGUUCCGCUGAGGACUCUGACAAGACUGCCAUCGUAAGAUGUGAGGAAGGUGGGGAUGACGUCAAAUCAGCACGGCCCUUACGUCCGGGGCUACACACGUGUUACAAUGGGGGGUACAGAGGGCCGCUACCACGCGAGUGGAUGCCAAUCCCCAAAACCUCUCUCAGUUCGGACUGGAGUCUGCAACCCGACUCCACGAAGCUGGAUUCGCUAGUAAUCGCGCAUCAGCCACGGCGCGGUGAAUACGUUCCCGGGCCUUGUACACACCGCCCGUCAAGCCAUGGGAGCCGGGGGUACCUGAAGUGCGUAACCGCGAGGAGCGCCCUAGGGUAAAACUGGUGACUGGGGCU